UGAGGUCUGAAGUGUUGGAAAGAGAAUAACAUCACUUCUGUAGGAGGCAGAACUUUCAUCAACCUCCAAAGUUUACAGAGGCUGAACCAGACUUCUCUCUGGGAGCUUCCUCACAGAGCUUGUCCUGGCUCAAAACUACUCCGCUGUCCUGGAAAGCAGAACUUUUGAGAACCUGGACCAUCUUGUGAAGCUGCCUACGUCAUACAGCAUGUCAAGUCCAGCAGCCCUCAGCAGCAUGUUUUGUGCCAGAGGAGUGUGGGGCUGGAGGCUUACUGUGAACAUUAGGAGCUAGUCAUUUUUAUGACAGGAUAAUGAAGGGGCUGAAGUUAAUCACCACUUCUUCUUUUCAAUGUCCAUGAUUGCUCUUUGAAUAUUCUUAGGCCUAUAAUUCAAAAGAACAGAUCCCUAUUUCUUUAUGUUGAAAACUAAUUUCUGGUGAGAUAAUAGAUAUAAUUUUCAAUUAACUGCAGGUGGCAGAGUUUUGUUUCAGACGGCAGUCAUUAUCGCAAUCAGCAUGGCCUUCUUGUCAGCGGGUCCUGUCCCUACAUCAUACAGGAAUUCAGAGGAAAAGGUGGCCAUGCUGGAGAACAUCAGGGCAAGACAAGAACAGCUUGGUUUGGUUCAUCCAUGUCUGGCCUGCUAGAGAUCUACGAAAAAACUCCUGAUGAUGGAGAGACGCGGCGCAGACCACUGUCUCUGGUCAGGAUUCGGCUCAUCAUACAACAGGGCUCCAGAGGGUGUCUUGGAGAGCUGGAGACAUAUUGUGGGGUCUUGGAUGUGCUGCAACCUGUUCACUAUCCACUGGUGAGCAAUCUAAUAUAGCUAGAUUAGUUUGUAUAGUCUGGGCGCUGUACCAGAUUGUUGUGGUGAAGAGGGAGCUGAGCCAGAGGAUGAAGGUAUAAUUGAGUGAUAUCUUUGCUAAGAACUGGCAGCAGGAAGCAAGUUAAUGGAGAUUUCCCCACAUCUCUCCUGUAUACUCUGAUAUUGAACGCAGUUUAUCCUUGUAUCUGUGCUGGUGAUCAAUUCUUGAUUAGAACAAGAGCCUCCGCCAGCAAAUAGGAACACAAACUAAUAAUCUCUCUCAAAGAGGGGAGCGCUGACCCAGUCCUUCAGAAUACAAGACCAAAUAAGUAGACUUAACAGAACACAGACGUUAAGCUUUGAAGGAGGCUGUGAUUGGCUAAGUGAUAAG